UGGGGAAUAUUGGACAAUGGGCGAAAGCCUGAUCCAGCCAUGCCGCGUGUGUGAAGAAGGUCUUCGGAUUGUAACGCACUUUAAGUUGGGAGGAAGGGCAGUAAGCGAAUACCUUGCUGUUUUGACGUUACCGACAGAAUAAGCACCGGCUAACUCUGUGCCAGCAGCCGCGGUAAUACAGAGGGUGCAAGCGUUAAUCGGAAUUACUGGGCGUAAAGCGCGCGUAGGUGGUUCGUUAAGUUGAAUGUGAAAGCCCCGGGCUCAACCUGGGAAAUGGAUCCAAAAAUGGCGGGCGAGAGGAGGGCAGAGGGUGGGGGAAUUUCCUGUGGAGCGGUGGAAUGCGUAGAUAUAGGAAGGAACACCAGUGGCGAAGGCGACCACCUGGGCUCAUACUGACACUGGGGUGGGAAAGCGUGGGGAGCAAACAGG
rnacentral:rRNA from 1 species